GCGAGGCAGGGGCCACCGCCGAGGGGGAUUCUUGCCCCCACUUUGCACCACACACUCCUUUUCCAGCCCAGGGGCACAGGAACAAAAUCAGCCUAAAGCCGACCAGGCCGAGCCGUUGAGGAAUGCUGGGGCUUGGCGUCAGAAGGGAUGGGACCAGAGAGAAGGGUGUGAAGGAGACCCCGGUAGGGGCAGGACAUUGCGGGUAAAGAAGGGGAAGAAGAGGCCGAGAAAUCAAGGGCCAGACUGUGAAGGAGAAUAAAGGAGGUCAAAGAGAGGUCAUAUCUUCGUACCUCACUUCCUGACACAAACAAGUUUUUACUGUUGUCAGCAACAAAGCCCUAAUAUAGCUGCGGAAGAGAGAAAAACUGCAUUGUAUUUUGCCUCCUGCAAGCAUCAUCAACACAGUUACCGGAGGAAUGUAAUUCCAGAAACCUUUAAACCUGGUGGUGAUGGUAAUUAUGUAUCAAGCGCCUGAUUCUAUUUCUGUUAUUAUUGUUUUGUCAUUUCUGUUCUACCCAAGAAGCUGGCUGAACUCGCAGAGGGACAAAUCCAGUGUUUCUUUUUGACUUGGUAAAACUGAAUCAGACCUGGUAGAAAACUCAUUGCUCUUGAGAGAAAAAAAAAGUAGGAGCCACGAAAUGUCAUUUUAACAGAGCGUGGGUUUUGUGACUGUAGGAAAGGAUUUAAGGACGCUCCUUCUGUUCGGUUUCCUAUGUAACGAGCAAAGGCUACACGCACGCACAGACGCCACAGCUCUCGGAUGCUGUGGCUCCCUUAUCUGGGCUUCUGCAGCUCCAGAAGCCCCUCCGGGAUGCUGCGAGGGGCACUCGGUGGGUGGUGGUACGAACGCUGCGGCCGCCGCCGCCAGUCCUGCUGCUGCUGUUGUUGCUGCUGCAGUCACGUGGGAGCCCCUUUAAGUUUCCAUAGAGAGGCCUCUCCGGUGUCACAUGAUGGACAUGAUAUAAUGAAACAACAUUGUGGAGAGGAAAGCAUUAGGGGAGCCCACGGCUACAAAAACAAGUGAGUGAGAAGAGGUGGGAGGAAGAGAAACUACGCCACCUCCCCUGCAGCCGAGCCGCACGCAGCAGCAGCCCGCGAGGAGAAGUGGGCGACGCCGGGGGGCAGGGAGACCGGGUCCUCAGCUCCGGCCGGGGACCCCGCCGCCCACCGCGGAGAGAACAACUUUUAGCCGGCGGCCUCGGCCAGCACUGCACCUGUCUCCGGAGCCUCCAUCGCUCCUCGUGAUGAUCAAAGGGAAAUUCUAGAAGAAUAUGCUCUACAAAUAUACAUGCGCAUCAUUUUCCCCCUUGCGUCUCGCUCUGGAGGAAAGAAAGAGAAAGGGAUUGAAACAGAAGCGUGUGUUCAGCCUCAAGGCAUUUUAUUAAUGCUUUCCAGGGUUAGAAGAGUUGGGAUAUGUUACCAUCUGGAGUUUCUCUGCCUCGCUGAUGAUCUUAGCUCAAACCUGCCAGUUUAUGGGAGGUGAUAGAUAACACCUUGUAACGUCUGAGUUGCAAUAAUAUCUGCCUCUAAGAACUCAGGAGGACUUUGUGGGAGCGAAGGUAGUGAGUCAUACCUGCAGGCAAGGAGAGGAGAGUUCAUUGAGCCUCUUCAUUCGGUUGGGAGGUUUCCUAGGCAACCAUGUAUGCAGUCAUUAAAAGAUGAGGAACUAAGAGGAGAAAAAUGGAAGAAACAGAGGAACUUUUAAUGGAACAAAAUAAACCUCUGAACAGGACAAGUCCAGCCUGUGCUUGGGGAUCCUCUGUGUGACUGCUCUGUGGUGCAGAUCUUCUGAACAAAUGCCUGCUGAGGAUUUCUGUGCCUGGAAAAUGUCUGUCAACAGAUUGCUUUCGCACUCCUGUGUAAGUAGAGGCUUGUGCUCGUAAAUCAACCUCUAGGGAGUUUUGUUUUAUUUUGUUCCUGGAUGAUUCUCCAGUAAAUUUUUUUAAAUGGUCAUCAGUGUUUGAUCUCUAUUCCUUUUCUAUUAAACACUCAACUCCCAAUUUACUGUCAUAAAAAGUCUAUAACCUGAACUCCUGCUUAAAAGCAAGGGUACAGAUCCGUAUUCAGAUCUUAGAAUGGGAAGAGGAGAAGAAGGCAGAAAAGAUUAAAGAUACUUGUUUCAAUUAAUUCAGUAGGAGAUGCCAUUUGUAGAUCUUUUCCGGUUUUAGUCUUCAUCAGACUCCUCUGCAGUUACCUACUCUCUGAAUCGAUGCACAGCAAAAUGUAUGAAAGCAUGAUCUGUGAGCUUUUUCCAUUUACGAGCUGUGACAGAUCUGUUAGCCACAUCUCUGCUUAUAAUGUGCUAAAGGAAAAAUGAUUUAUUAUCUCUAUCAUCAUAGCUAUCAUUUAUUGAAUGUUUACAUUGUGCUGUUGCGAGUUCGAAUUGCUUUACCUGAUUUAUCUUAUUUAAUUCUCAUGGCAACCAUAGGUGGUAGGUACUGUUAUCAUCCUUGUUUUACAGAUGAGGACACUGAGGCACAGAGAGUUAAUGCAAUUUACCCAGGGUUGUGCAGGGAGCGAGGUGCAGAGCUUGGCGUUCUGGCUCCAGAAGUCUGCAUGUGGCUGUCUUGCCAUACUGCCUCACGGGAACGGGGAACUUAGGAGGAUAAACUGCUGGGCUGUAUUUCGGAGACAGUAUUUUAUUACUGUCAUAAUCACAUGAAUGAUCUGUUGGGCUAGUCACUAUGCUCUUUUGACUUGAGCUUCCUUAAGAUUGGUGGGAAACAAGGCUUUCGAGAAGAUGUGACUUGCUUAAGGUCACACUGCAGGUCACAAGUGUAGCUGACGGUCCAGGACUCUGACCAUUCAAUGCUAGCCAAAUCCUACUAAUUUCCAAGUUUUCUCCUUCCUCUUGGUGGAUUGAUUGAUGCUGCUUCUGCUGAUCAGAGCCAAAGCUGGUUUGAAUGGUUUGCUCAUGUGCUCAUUGGUGAAACCCUGACAUCGGAGCCAGUUUGCAUUCACAGUUCCGUGUGGCCGUGUGAAGAUUAGCCAUUGUAGUAUCUAUAAAGCUCUGAGCAGCAGAGAACCACGGCUAAAAGCCUGGGCUUGGAAUGAGGCAGAUCGGGUCUGAAUCCUGGUCUUGCCAUUCACAAGCUUUGUGACCAAGGGCAAGUCACAGAUGUGCUCUAAAGCUCUGUUCUCUCACCCGGAAAAUGGAGAUACCACCACCAACCUUAUUAGGUGGUUAUGAACGUUGAAAAAAUGCAUGUAAAGCAUGUAGCAAUGUCUGGCACAGAGUAAGUAUUCCAAAAAUGGAAGCUAUUAUUGUUUUUCAGAGUACCUUCCCGUCCAUUUCUCAGUUCAUUUUGUACUUCACCCUGAAAAGGCGUCUAAUAAAAUAACAAACAUUUGUGUAGUGCUUUAAAAAUUACAGACUGUUUGCACGUACUAAAUUACAUCUCACCCUAACAACCAUUGCAGUACAGGAAUUUAUAUCUCCAUUCUCUAGAUCAGGAUAAUAAGGCUCAGAAAAAUUAAAUGAUUGCCCAAGAGCACAUAGCUAGUAAGUAGCACAGCCAGGACUUCAGCUCAGAACCACAGCUCCAGAUCCUGUGCUACUCGUUUGUUUGCUUCCUGUAGGAAAGCUUUCCCUAAAGGUGUAUAAAUCAACAGAGAAUGACUUACAACUGUGUGAUCCAGCUUUGUAGCGGUAACAGUUGCAUCUUUAGUCUGGCCUACAUACUCAAGUUAGGACUAUUGUAUCCUGAUGUCUGUAACAUUUUGAAACUAGGAUCUUAAAGAACUGUUGUAGUCAGAUACAGCCUCCUUGUGAAAUCCUCAGGCCCCAAGGGAAGUUAUCUUAAUCCAGUUUGCUCAUGCAAGAACAGACUGGCAUUUCACUUCAAUGAAAACAACGUACUUCCACUGUUCGGCUUUUGCCACACAGGAGUUACUGGUGUGGUUUAUUGAUUCACAUUUCAGGCUCCAACUUUCCUAUCAGAUUUGGAAGAAAAAAUACAAAGAAGGGCAUCUUGCUCAAAAAGCAGCAUAAAGUACAGCAGUGAAGACUGGAUUUUGAAAUGGAAACACAUUCUCAUGGCUUGUGGGCUGAGAGACAAUAAGGAAGGAUGUUGUUCUUGAAAGAUGAUUAUUUUAAUGCUGGAGAUGGAGAGUUUGGCAAUUUUAAGGGUGUGUUCUGCAUGUAAGAAAGAGUUGUUUAAAAAUAACAUUACUUUCAAAUGAUGCAAUACCUGAAAAUUGGCGAUGGUUAAAAUAGAAACACCCUGAGUUACAGAAAUUCAGCCCUACAGUAUCCUGGCCUAAAAAUACGGAACAAUCAGGUUGAUUGUUGGAGACUGGAGGAUAAGGAGGAAUGGAAACAUGGUAAUGUUUACUGAGUCAAAUCUUUCCUUGUAGUUGAAUGUUACGGAAAGACUCAACAAAGUAAGCGGAUACCAGCUGCUGUCUUCCCGUUUCCCUGUGCACGUCCUGGAAAGAGAAUGAAUGAACCCCUAUUAAUUUAUCAACUUUUUUUUUUCAUUUCCCAACUAGCGAAUGAUGCGAUUUUUUUUCCUAUGUUAAUUUGGUAGCCAGUCUCCUCAUGCAGACCUUUUUUCAGGAAACUGGCCUCUUGCUUUAGAAGAUUAUGUGAAAACAGAAGCCCAAACUCAGGAUCCCUAUUUCAGUGUGUUUUAAGUCAUUUUACAGUCACUAAGUACCUCAGUUUCCCCCCAAGGAGCUUAAAAACUGAAGGGAAGUUUUGACUGGUCUCUGUUUAUUAUGCUUUAUCUGCUGAAAAUGCCUUGUCAAACUGGGCUCACAUGGAGAGACAUAGAUGCAAAAGAAUAUGUCCAUCUUUGUUCUUCUGCUGAAUUUUUUGGAAGCAUACUCAAAAGAUAAUACAGAAAACUUACCAUAUCUGUUUGUUUCUGCUAAGGGAGCAAAAGAGUAUGGUGUGUCUAUAGUAUGGAUGUGUGUGUGUGUGUAUGUACAUCUGGGAGUGGGACAUAUAUUUGAUGUAUGAGAUAUGUAUGAUCUUAUCAGACAUAAGUAAAAGGAAGACAUCCAUUCUUUAGGAAAAUUUUCCCCAUAACUGAAGUGUCAAAAUCUUUUGAAAAAAACUUCUAAGUGGCAAUAGGCAAAAGCUGUGAUUAGUCAUUUGUAAAAAAAUAAGCAGACCUUUUUGUUCUGGAUUUUGGAUUUUUUAACUGAUGAGAAUAAUCUGGCUGUACCUUGCGUACUUCAAUCACUGAUAUUAUGAAUUACAAUAGCAUAUACAGAAGGAUGCAGCGGAGCCCUGAAUUAAUAAAAAAAUUAGUGAAAUCAUUAUUUGAGAGUUCCAGUGAUUCUUCCGUCUUGGCACUUUUUCAGGUUUAAAUGCUUGAAUUUACUAUCCAACUGGAAUAUUUAACUGCCUGCUGCUUCAUAAAGUAUGUGCAUUUCUUUGCAGUCUAUGAGCUAUUGCAUCUUUGAUAAACCGAUUGCUACACAUCUCUGUAGCCCAUGCUGUCCUAUUCCCUUAUUUACAGAGAUGAGAAGACUAGCCUGGUAGCAGUAGGCAUGUGCGGUGGAUGCUUCUCCAUUAUGAAGGAUGAGUUUGUAUUGGGGUCUCCUGUGAAGAGAUAAGCUGUCAAGCCUAUAAGGAGUAAGAACGUUCAUCACAUCUAAGUAAGCACCCUGCCCCUCCUGGCUUGUCAGCAUCCUGCUGAAUCCAUUUGAAAUCGUCAACCACAGGCACAUUGUAGUUGGAGGUUCUUCCUAUACUCAUAGCAGAGAUUGUAAAUGAGGGUGAUGUAUGAGCAAAAUCAAAAGGAGAAAGUAAAGUUUAGUUAAUUUAUUGAAACCAAGAGAACAGACAGAAUGCACGGUACAGCCAGGAUUAGAACCCAUUCAUCACGAUAAAACCAAAAAAAGGUGGGGGAGUGUUUUAGGUUAAAAGAGACCAAAGAGUCUUAGUGAGUGAACCUCGCUGGGAUCUGGGUUUGAAAAAAAACCAAGUAUAAAAGACAUUUUUUUAGAGAAAGUAGGAAAAGUUGAAUAUGGACUGGAUAUUGGAGGAUACAAAGGAAUUGUUAAUCUUCUUAGGUGUGAUAAAGAUAUUGUAAUUAUACAGGUGAAUGGCCUCAUUUUUUUAGACAUGCUCAAGAAGUGAGGAGCAGAGUGUUGGGAUCGUUGUCAAUUUACUUUCAAAUGAUUCAGCAAAAAAAUAUACAUAUAUCUUACAUAGAGAUAACAUAGCUAAAGCAAAAAUGGCAAAAUGAACAAUUGGUGAAUGUAGGUGGUAUGAAUUUAGGAAUUCAUUUUUUUGUCAUUCAAAUUUACUAUAUGUCGGAAAGUUGUCAUAACAGUUAAAAAAAAGAAUGCUCGUCCCUUUAGUUAGGUGCCCGGACACACCAAGUAUCUUCUUGGAUCCCUGGAACACUAAAGGGAGCGACAAUAGGCUUCCUAAUAAAAUGCUAUCAAGCACCUAGGGAAGAGAAAAGACUGUGGCAAAAGAUAAUGUUAAGGAGAGCUGAGAAUACAAAGCCUUACUUUUGGAGGGGGCGGAGGAGAAUCUUGAAUAAAGCUAACAAAAUAUCCUUAACUCAUAGAUGCAUCUAAGGAAUUCCAUUCUGGAAAAAACAUUAGGAUGUCAUUAGCAUCAAUAUAUUACUUUCCCUCUGAGCUAUUCCAUUGUCCUCCCUGGACCCUGAAAUCAUAGUAAUCCUUUGAAUCAAACAGAAUUAUCUCCAAGUGAAAGAACUAGGUGUAGGAAAGCGUUUUCUUUCACUUCUACCAGAGCACCUGCUUACUUUGUACCAUUUGUACGUAUGUUGUAAGGUUCUUCAGCGCCACGUUCUAGUUAUCCUGCCCUGGGGACUUGGACCCCAGGAUGAGCUCUGCUUCUUUACCCAAGUCAAGGAUUUCCCUUGACUUCCCUUGAGUAACGGGGUUGACGUGAGCCUUUGCGUCUAAGUGAUAAAACUGAACCUUUGGGCAGCUCAAGAAUGAAGAGUCACAGGCGUGCCCCUCCCACCGCCCCGCAACACCAGAUUUGGUGACAUCAGUAUAUGCAUGUAUGAGAUUUGUUAAAGCUCUAUUUAGACCACAAAGUAAAUAACUCACAACCAGGUUCAACUUUUUCCAUUCUAGGUUGUCUUGAGUUUAUUGUGAGAGCAUUAUGGAAAAAAAAAAAAAAAAACAGAUCAUAAAGCUUCUUCAGGAAGCUGGUUUCAUAUGGUGGUUUAGAUUUAAAUAGUGAUUGUCUAGCACCAUUUGAAAUCAGUGUUCUUGGGGGAGACCAGCUGCACUACCAGGGGCAAAAGGAACGAAUAGAACAGCCCCGAAGAAUUUGAAAGCAAAGACCAGACGGCCGUGAGAACCUGCCUGCUGUUGUAGCUGAUCCGUCCCACAGUGGUAUUAUAAAUACCAAGUUAAUUAUGCAGGAUGUCUGGUUAUUAGAACUUCAUACUCGUUUGUGUAAUAAACCUUCUGUAGUACUUUUCCUGUAAUACAGACUCCAUCGUGCUUGGGUGAAAGGGCCGAAUGUAUGGCAGAUUUAUUAAUCUCUGGGCCCUCCCAACCCUCAUGUCCUCCUGUGACCCCUUAGAGGAUGACUGAUUUCUUUUGGUGUUCAGAGUCAAUAUAAUUUUCUAGCACCAUCUGAAAUCGGUUAUAAUGAUUGGGGAAGAGCAGCGUGCAGCCAAUUAAGAAGAGAAAAUAUAUUGGUGACCUUCGGGGCCAUAAAUAAGAAGAAAACAGAAAUACCAAGCAGAAAUACCAAGGUGGUUUUUCUUCUUUGGGUUUUUAAGGUGAGUUUCAUUGCCCUGAAUUACGUGUUAUGCUAAUAAAUGGUUAACUAUUAGCAUAUUGCUAAUGGUUAUAUUUUAGAAAAAUUCCACAGAAUUUGUGGGGAUUUUUGUUUUGAUGCAAGAUACCUAGAAAAAAGUGGGUAAAAUCCAUGACUGCCUCAGAUCACGUGAAAGGAGCAGAGUGAGAUGUUACACAGUGAGAUGCUGUGUAACCGCAUCCCUGGACACUCCCACCUGAUGGUGGAGCUCACUCUGUGGUAACCAGGUUGUUUUCUUCUUUCUUUCUUUCUUUUUUUUUUUUGGUGAGGAAGAGUGGCCCUGAGCUAACAUCUGUGCCAAUCUUCCUCUAUUUUGUGUGUGGGACGCCACCACAACAUGGUUGAUGAGUGGCGUAGGUCCGUGCCCGGGAUCCGAACCUGCAAACCCUGGGUCCCCGAAGCGGAGUGCGUAAACUUAACCACUACGCUACCAGGCCAGCCCCUGGGUCAUUUUCUUAAAAGGUAGCACCUAGCUCAAGCCAACUAGAAGUUCAGUCAAACAAGGCGCACGAGGAAAAAUGGUACAGAUAACUAGGUUUCUGUGUCUAGGACAGAACUAAGUUAAUACGUUUCCGUUCAGUUUAGAAAGCAAGGUGAAGAAAGCCACAGGUUGUACUGGAACUGUUUUCCUAAAUUAUACCGUGUUACCAUGGAAGAGAAGUUGUUAGACCAAAAACAACAGAAUUUUCUAGGUCUAAGCAAGGGGGCGAAAAGGCUUAAGAGUGAGCUGUGUCAGCCACUGUACCACCCAUGGGGCAUGAUGCUGUUCUGCCCACAGGUACCAACUUAGCAGAGGUCAGCCUGCUGCCGCCACCCACCGUCUCCACGUGGCAUCCCAGACAACAGAAGGGGCACCUGGGGGAGUUCCAGGCCUUGUCCUUCCCUUUUCACUUGGGCCUGGAGAAGCUCUGUGGGGCCUGACAGUCACCUGAUACCUGCCUACCCUGCUUCACGAAGCUCAGCCUCCACCUUUCCCCCCCUCUCACACCUGCCCCCCCACACCUGCCCCCCCUCACA